rnacentral:rRNA from 1 species
AGAGUUUGAUCCUGGCUCAGGAUGAACGCUAGCGGCAGGCCUAAUACAUGCAAGUCGAACGGUAAGUAGAGUAGCAAUACUUUACCAAGAGUGACGUACGGGUGCGUAACACGUAUGCAACCUACCCAUAACAGGAGGAUAGCUCCCCGAAAGGGGAAUUAACCCUCCAUAGUAUAAUUGACUGGCAUCAGUUGAUUAUUAAAACUCCGGUGGUUAUGGAUGGGCAUGCGUCUGAUUAGUUAGUUGGCGGUGUAACGGACCACCAAGACGAUGAUCAGUAGGGGAACUGAGAGGUUGAUCCCCCACACUGGCACUGAGAUACGGGCCAGACUCCUACGGGAGGCAGCAGUAGGGAAUAUUGGUCAAUGGAUGCAAGUCUGAACCAGCCAUGCCGCGUGCAGGAAGAAGGCCCUAUGGGUUGUAAACUGCUUUUGUCAGGGGAUAAAAUGGGCAUGCGUGCCUAAUUGAAGGUACCUGGCGAAUAAGCCACGGCUAACUACGUGCCAGCAGCCGCGGUAAUACGUAGGUGGCAAGCGUUGUCCGGAUUUAUUGGGUUUAAAGGGUGCGUAGGCGGUCCUAUAAGUCAGUGCUGAAAUAUCCCGGCUUAACCGGGAGAGUGGCAUUGAUACUGUGGGACUUGAGUAAAGUUGAGGUUGGCGGAAUUGACGGUGUAGCGGUGAAAUGCUUAGAUAUCGUCAAGAACACCUAUUGCGAAGGCAGCUAACUAAGCUUUAACUGACGCUGAGGCACGAAAGUGUGGGGAUCAAACAGGAUUAGAUACCCUGGUAGUCCACACUGUAAACGUUGAUUACUCGCUGUUGGCGAUACACGGGCCAGCGGCUUAGCGCAAGCGAUAAGUAAUCCACCU